GUAGGUGAACCUGCGGAGGGAUCAUUAAUCGUAACACGGACUCGGCGCGGACUUCGGUCCCCGAGGAAAUGUCACACCCUUUGUUGUCCGACCACGUUGCCUCGGGGGUGACCCUGCCUUCGGGCUCGGUCCCCCCGGCGGACCAAACCAAACUCUUGCGUAAACUUGCAGUCUGAGUGAUUUAAUAAAUAAAUCAAAACUUUCAACAACGGAUCUCUUGGUUCUGGCAUCGAUGAAGAACGCAGCAUCU
rnacentral:misc_RNA from 1 species